GAUGAACGCUGGCGGCGCGCCUAACACAUGCAAGUCGAACGGUUAAAGCACCUUUUAGGUGUGUAUAAAGUGGCGAACGGCUGAGUAACACGUGGGCAACCUGCCCUCCUCUUGGGGAUAGCCUCGGGAAACCGAGGAUAAUACCCGAUACUUCAAUGUGGCCGCAUGACGACAUUGAGAAAGCUUUUGCGGAGAAGGAUGGGCCCGCGGCCUGUUAGCUUGUUGGUGGGGUAGAGGCCUACUAAGGCAAUGAUGGGUAGCUGGGUUGAGAGACCGACCAGCCAGAUUGGGACUGAGACACGGCCCAGACUCCUACGGGAGGCAGCAGUGGGGAAUCUUGCACAAUGGGCGAAAGCCUGAUGCAGCGACGCCGCGUGCGGGACGAAGGCCUUCGGGUUGUAAACCGCUUUCAGCAGGGACGAGGCGAAAGUGACGGUACCUGCAGAAGAAGCCCCGGCUAACUACGUGCCAGCAGCCGCGGUAAUACGUAGGGGGCAAGCGUUAUCCGGAUUCAUUGGGCGUAAAGCGCUCGUAGGCGGUCUGUUAGGUCGGGAGUUAAAUCCGGAGGCUCAACCUCCGCCCGCUCCCGAUACCGGCAGACUUGAGUUUGGUAGGGGAAGGUGGGAUUCCUAGUGUAGCGGUGGAAUGCGCAGAUAUUAGGAAGAACACCAGUGGCGAAGGCGGCCUUCUGGGCCAUAACUGACGCUGAGGAGCGAAAGCUAGGGGAGCAAACAGG
rnacentral:rRNA from 1 species